rnacentral:tRNA from 1 species
GCUCCCAUCGUCCAGAGGCCUAGGACAUAGCCCUCUCACGGCUAAGACACGGGUUCGAAUCCCGUUGGGAGUA